rnacentral:rRNA from 1 species
GAGUUUGAUCAUGGCUCAGGAUGAACGCUAGCGGAACGCCUAACACAUGCAAGUCGAACGGAGUCUGCGUUGUAGCAAUACAUAGUAGAUUUAGUGGCAAACGAGCGAGUAACGCGUGCUUAACCUGCCCCCGAGAUGAGAAUAACUGCAGAGACGUAGCUAAUCCUCAAUAUGCUCACGAUGGUGAAAUUCCAAUGUGAGGAAAGAUUUAUCGCUCGGGGAGGGGAGUGCGUCCUAUCAGGUAGUUGGUUGAGGUAAUGGCUCACCAAGCCGAUGACGGGUAGCCGGUCUGAGAUGAUGUCCGGCCGCGAUGGGACUGAGAUACGGCCCAUACUCCUACGGGAGGCAGCAGUGGGGAAUCUUGCACAAUGGACGAAAGUCUGAUGCAGCGAUCCCGCGUGAAGGAUGAAGCAUUACGGUGUGUAAACUUCUUUUUUGGUGGAAGACG